ACACAUGCAAGUUGAACGGGAUUUGUAUGGUGCUUGCACCAUGUAAUGAGAGUAGCGCACUGGUGAGUAACACGUGGGAACAUACCUUGAAGUGGGGGACAACAGUUGGAAACGACUGCUAAUACCGCAUAAUCCCUGAGGGGGAAAGAUUUAUCGCUUUAAGAUUGGCCCGCGGAAGAUUAGGUAGUUGGUGGGGUAAAGGCCUACCAAGCCGACGAUCUAUAGCUGGUCUGAGAGGACGAACAGCCACAUUGGAACUGAGACACGGUCCAGACUCCUACGGGAGGCAGCAGUGAGGAAUAUUGGGCAAUGGAGGAAACUCUGACCCAGCCAUGCCGCGUGAGUGAAGAAGGUUUUCGAAUUGUAAAGCUCUUUCGGAUGGGACGAUGAUGACGGUACCAUCUAAAGAAGCCCCGGCAAACUUCGUGCCAGCAGCCGCGGUAAUACGAAGGGGGCAAGCGUUGUUCGGAAUUACUGGGCGUAAAGGGUGUGUAGGCGGAUUUGUAAGAUAGUGGUGAAAUACCUGAGCUCAACUUAGGAAUUGCCAUUAUAACUAUAGAUCUGGAGUGACAGAGAGGAUAUUGGAAUACCCAGUGUAGAGGUGAAAUUCGUAGAUAUUGGGUAGAACACCAGUGGCGAAGGCGAGUAUCUGGCUGUCAACUGACGCUGAGGCACGAAAGCAUGGGGAUCAAACAGGAUUAGAUACCCUGGUAGUCCAUGCUGUAAACGAUGAAUGCUAGUUGUCGGCAAAAGCCGGUGACGCAGUUAACGCGAUAAGCAUUCCGCCUGGGGAGUACGGUCGCAAGAUUAAAACUCAAAGGAAUUGACGGGGACCCGCACAAGCGGUGGAGCAUGUGGUUUAAUUCGAUGCAACGCGAAGAACCUUACCAACUCUUGACAUCCUCAUCGGGGCUUUCAGAGAUGAGAGCUUUCAGUUAGG
rnacentral:rRNA from 1 species